UCUCGCUCUCUCUCUCUCUCUCUAGUAGAAGAAAACUAUGUGUGUGUCGCCUAAUAUGUUAAUAAAGUUGUGGGUGAUAGUUGAAUUUAAUAUAUAGAAGAUGAAAUAUGUGAUGGAUUGUGCUCAAAUGAUAUGAGUUACAACCAAACUCGUGUUCUACGUCAUGCUAAUCAUUCAACUAGUAAAACAGAGUAAAUCUCGAGCCAUUGGCUCAGGUUGUUUUAUGUUUAUUUUUAUCCAUCGAAUGUUUGUUUGAGUUCCUCCUUGGUGUUUGCUUAAAUCAAGGCCUUGCCAGCAAAUCCUAGGCUUUGUACGACUCACAUUCAUUGUUGGGACUUGGCCUUUGAUUGGAUAUAUGAGGGAAAGGGAAAGAAAAUAAAUAAUGAAAAAUAAAGUGUUAUUGUAUUUUUUUCUGUUUGGAAAUGAAAGGAAAAUAUUGAAAGGAA
rnacentral:misc_RNA from 1 species